CAACUAGCAAAGACUUCAUGCAGACUAUGCUGCCCUCAGCCAGUUCAUUAUCAUCCUCAUAUGUUGUAUUUGGUUUUCCGAUGUACACAAAGGCAGAGGUCGUUCGCAUUGUAAACUCCAAAGAAAACACAACUGUUACUAUAAAUGCACCACCUGCAAGUGUUUUCCUUCAACAAGUCGGCUCUAUUUACGACUUUCAAGUCGAUCCUAGCGUGGGAUCAGUCAUCACGGCAGAUAAAGGUGUGAUAGUAGCAAUCGUGAGUUUGGGGAGAAGUAUGACACCAUACGGUGACCCCCGUUUAAUUGUGGCGCCCUCUCCUGAUCAAUUCCUGUCGGAGUAUACAUUUCCUAUUGCCAAUCUGACUGGAAAAUUAGUUUACGUACAUCGAAUUGUAAUCCUUGCAAAGACCAGUUGACGUGUCUAAAAUCAAGUUGGAUAACUCCUAUAUAGCCGAUCUCGGACUUGUGUGGACAGAACUGACCAACACUGACUUCUCAGUGACUUAUAGCGUUUUGGAUGUUGGGAUUCACUCUCUCACCAGUGAUGACGUAUCGGCUGUAUUUAUGGGAUAUCUUGCUGGCCAUGGGUCAACAGAGGAAUAUGGAACGACGGCAGGUCGUUUCCUUGGUAACACCAAUCAGAGUGUGUGUACAGACGGCGUAUCUUGUAAUUAUGGGCGGUUCAGAGGUGCAAUGUUUACCCCAAAGACUUUUGGCUACAUUCCAAGUGCGGAACCAAUUGUGAUUUUACAAACAGACUCACUACCUUUAUGCCAAGCAAAAUGUUUAACUUUGGAUACAUGUGUUUAUAUGACUAUGGUAAUAGAAAAUGAUAUUUCGUUAUGUAAACUAUACAGCUCCAAAGCAUCCUGUUCACAACUUGUUGAAAGUGUCGGUGUCCGGUUAUACAAACGAUCAGGGACUUAGUUAACUGUAAGACACUUAAUUCAUUUGUCAGAGAAGAAUACCUCUGUCUUAAAGCUAUAAAAGUACUUUAUACAUUAACAUAGAAACAUUAUGCUAAGUACAUAAUGAUAUAUUUUUGCACUUAAGCUAUAAAGUUUUCAUUAAUGACAAAGGAGUAUUUUACAAGAUAUAUCUAGGAAUUUGUUCAAAGAUGUUGGUGUACUGUGUAAUGUGUAAUGCCAAGCAAAAAGUAUCGAUUUUUGUCUUAUCAAAGUGUAUGAACUGAAGUUUACCUGUCCAAAAUAAUUUUGAUAUAUA